AUUGAACGCUGGCGGAAUGCUUUACACAUGCAAGUCGAACGGCAGCACGGACUUCGGUCUGGUGGCGAGUGGCGAACGGGUGAGUAAUACAUCGGAACGUGCCCAGUCGUGGGGGAUAACGUAGCGAAAGCUACGCUAAUACCGCAUACGAUCUAAGGAUGAAAGCGGGGGAUCGCAAGACCUCGCGCGAUUGGAGCGGCCGAUGGCAGAUUAGGUAGUUGGUGGGGUAAAGGCUCACCAAGCCGACGAUCUGUAGCUGGUCUGAGAGGACGACCAGCCACACUGGGACUGAGACACGGCCCAGACUCCUACGGGAGGCAGCAGUGGGGAAUUUUGGACAAUGGGCGCAAGCCUGAUCCAGCCAUUCCGCGUGCAGGACGAAGGCCUUCGGGUUGUAAACUGCUUUUGUACGGAACGAAAAGGCUCUGGUUAAUACCCGGGGCUCAUGACGGUACCGUAAGAAUAAGCACCGGCUAACUACGUGCCAGCAGCCGCGGUAA
rnacentral:rRNA from 1 species